rnacentral:misc_RNA from 1 species
AUACAUUUAAAUUUCUUUAUUAAUUUUUUAUAUAUAAUUUAUAUUAAAUAUAAAAAUAUAUUUUUUAAAUAAAAAGACGAUAAGACCCUAUUAAAUUUUACUUAUAGUUUAACUGGGGAAGUUUUAAAAAUAAAAUUUUUUAUAAAAAUAAAAAUAAAUCUAAUAAAAUUAAAAUUAAAUUAAAUUACUAUAGGGAUAACAGCAUUAUAUUUUUUAAAAGUUCAUAUUAAAAAAAAUGAUUGUGACCUCGAUGUUGAAUUAUAUUUUCUUUAUUAAUGCAAUAAUUAUAAAAGUAGAUCUGUUCGAUCUUUAAAAUAUUACAUGAUUUGAGUUCAAACCGGUGUAAACCAGGUUGGUUUCUAUCUUUUUAUAAAUUCAUAUAUAUAUGUAUAUAUAUAUAUAUAUAAAUUUUUCAAGUACGAAAGGAAAAAAAAAUUUUUAUUUUAAUUAAUUAGCAAUUAAUAUGCAUUAGAUUUAGAAUCUAAAUAAACUAUUAUU